UACGUAGGGGGCAAGCGUUGUCCGGAUUUAUUGGGCGUAAAGAGCUCGUAGGUGGUUCGGUAAGUCGGAUGUGAAAUCUCCAGGCUCAACCUGGAGGGGUCAUUCGAAACUGCCUCGCUAGAGUCCGGAAGAGGAGAGUGGAAUUCCUGGUGUAGCGGUGGAAUGCGCAGAUAUCAGGAAGAACACCCGUGGCGAAGGCGGCUCUCUGGGACGGUACUGACGCUGAGACGCGAAAGCGUGGGGAGCGAACAGG
rnacentral:rRNA from 1 species